rnacentral:rRNA from 1 species
GACGAACGCUGGCGGCGUGCUUAACACAUGCAAGUCGAACGGAAAGGCCCUGCUUUUGUGGGGUGCUCGAUUGGCGAACGGGUGAGUAACACGUGAGUAACCUGCCCUUGACUUUGGGAUAACUUCAGGAAACUGGGGCUAAUACCGGAUAGGAUCUCCUGCUGCAUGGUGGGGGUUGGAUAGUUUCGGCGGUUGGGGAUGGACUCGCGGCUUAUCAGCUUGUUGGUGGGGUAGUGGCUUACCAAGGCUUUGACGGGUAGCCGGCCUGAGAGGGUGAACGGCCACAUUGGGACUGAGAUACGGCCCAGACUCCUACGGGAGGCAGCAGUGGGGAAUAUUGCACAAUGGGCGGAAGCCUGAUGCAGCAACGCCGCGUGCGGGAUGACGGCCUUCGGGUUGUAAACCGCUUUCGCCUGUGACGAAGCGUGAGUGACGGUAAUGGGUAAAGAAGCACCGGCUAACUACGUG